CCUACGGGGGGCUGCAGUGGGGAAUAUUGGACAAUGGGGGCAACCCUGAUCCAGCCAUGCCGCGUGUGUGAAGAAGGCCCUCGGGUUGUAAAGCACUUUCAGUGAGGAAGAACGCCUGGUGGUUAAUACCCAUCAGGAAAGACAUCACUCACAGAAGAAGCACCGGCUAACUCCGUGCCAGCAGCCGCGGUAAUACGGAGGGUGCGAGCGUUAAUCGGAAUUACUGGGCGUAAAGCGCGCGUAGGUGGCUUGAUAAGCCGGUUGUGAAAGCCCCGGGCUCAACCUGGGAACGGCAUCCGGAACUGUCAAGUUAGAGUGCAGGAGAGGAAGGUAGAAUUCCCGGUGUAGCGGUGAAAUGCGUAGAGAUCGGGAGGAAUACCAGUGGCGAAGGCGGCCUUCUGGACUGACACUGACACUGAGGUGCGAAAGCGUGGGUAGCAAACAGGAUUAGAUACCCUUGUAGUC
rnacentral:rRNA from 1 species